rnacentral:lncRNA from 1 species
AGCAGUUAAAACUAAGAGAAGAAAGAGGAGGGAGAAAUAUGGUAAUCACUUACCACAUCCUCUUUUAACCUCUUGAAUAUCUUACCAAUGUCUUCUUUUGUUCUUACCUUCACAUCAUUUGAUUUGAUAAAACAAAACUAUUAUCUAGAGAGGUAAGGCAGACUUGUGAACUGGACCCGUAGAAGUUAAGUGAUGUCCCUGUUUGCAGUGUCAAUGAGAUUGAGGGCUUGGGCUUGAACCCAACCUUCUCCCUCCAAAUAGCCUGCUCUUUCUGUUAUGUCAUGUUUCAUAUACAAGUUUGGGAGCCUCCAGCCCUGACUAUCCCAACAUAUACAACAUAAUGUAUAUGUUGUCUUUGGAAAUAUCUUCUGUGAAGGCCAAGCAUUUAAUAUUACAGGAAACCUUGAAGUGGAUAUGGAAGCUUGGCAGCCAGCUUGGAUCUUCCUAAGAGCCUCUUUCCUUCAUACCAUCUUCAGAGUUUUUCCCAUGAUGUUCCCUUUCCAAUGUCUUUCUGGAAGUCACACAUUGACCACUAACAACAGGAGAGAGGACAAAGAAAGGCAGCAAGAGACUAUUUCCAAUGCAAAAUAUGAUCAGGAUGUCACACAUUUCUGUCCAUCUGUGUCCUCCAUCUUUGAGAAGAUGAAAUCAAACAGACAACUUAGCGAUGGAGAUAAUUAAAGAGAUUAGGAACUCAUGGGAGUGGAAUGCAGUAGAAAGA